GCGAUUGAGUCGCUUUGGCUUUCGCACUCAAACCACUGGAAGUGUGACCUUUACUCUUAAUUGUAUCCAGCAUGCCAGGGCCUUUAUUGAUGCCAGCACCCUGAAGAAAAGAAGACAAACUGUUCUGGAUCAGCUGGGCGGCCACAGUCAGCAGGGCUCUGUCUAUAAUGUUCUGGAAGCGUUUCAGAGGGCACAAAAGCGCAUGCAGGAGGCAAGAGAGACUUUACCCAGAGAUCACAUCAACUCCUCUGCACAACUAA